rnacentral:rRNA from 1 species
UACGUAGGGAGCAAGCGUUGUCCGGAAUCAUUGGGCGUAAAGCGCGCGUAGGCGGCCUCAUAAGUCCGUUGUGAGAGUCAAAGGCUCAACCUUUGAAAGCCGAUGGAUACUGUGAGGCUAGAGUUCGGAAGAGGCGAGUGGAAUUCCUGGUGUAGCGGUGGAAUGCGCAGAUAUCAGGAGGAACACCAAUAGCGAAGGCAGCUCGCUGGGACGAUACUGACGCUAAGGCGCGAAAGCGUGGGGAGCGAACAGG